UAGAAACAGAAAAAAAAAAUGGUAAUGGCAUGAAAUAAGCAUUUGCAAACCCAUUUCGGAAGACGGGAAAUGCUUGAUUUACCUCGGGCACCCAUCAUGUUCUGUAUCUCAGAUCGAAGUAGAUAAAUGGCAAAGGCAAAUGGAUAUUUGGGGGGAAAUCUAUAGCCUUUCUGUCAACUGUGCGAGUUAAAUGUUUGGAAUAAAAACGCAGAGAGCGUCUGUGGGAGGGGAAGCCGUGGUCCAGCAGCAGCCCGGGCCCUGGACUGCGGGCUUCCCCGUGGGCCCGGCCCUGCCCUGGCGCCGGCUGUGCCUUCACCCGUGUCAGUGGGGUCGCAGAUGCCGGCCAGAUGCCUGCAUUUCGCACCACGCAGAGAUCAGUACGUGGAACUGGCCACGGUGUCAGGAGCCACGUCUACACCCAAAGAGAGCAUUGAAGCGAGCCCAAACCUCGUUCUCCUAAACCGCUGCCCCCCGAGUCGCUCCGGGAACCGCCCCCUCUGCGUGUUUUCCCUUCCGCUCACAACGGCCGCGAGGGGAGCGCCAGGUGGGACCCGACGGCCGCCCACAUCUCGGGGCCUCAGGCCCGGCAGGGGGUCACUGGCCGGACCACUGGGUGCCUCUGAGCUCCCGUGUGCACGUCUCCAAACGAGCGUAGGCACCCCGAGCCCGCGGCGAUCAAAUGGGGUCACGAAUACAGGGACCGACCGUGCGCAGCGGGCAGAGAAUAGGGACAAUCGCUGCGCUGGUCAUCACCACCGGGGACUUGCUGACCCGGUGACACUGGGCUGUGUGUCAGCCCUGUCCUGGGCGACCCCGGGGCCAAGACGCUGCAGCUCGGCCCCCAGAGGAUGCGUGUUCCUGGGAGCGACAGAGAAGGAAGAAAUGCUCCUUCCUGGGGGUCUCUGUGUGUCCACGUGGGCAGGGGAGGCAGAGGGGCGAGCCGCGUCCACGGGGCAGGAUCGUGGAGAAGGCAGGAGGGCCUGUGGAGGUGAGGCCCAGGGGUGGCAGGCCGUGGGCGUCGGGCCAGGAGGGUCUCGGGUGGCCUCCAGGAGGGGCUCCUUUCCACCCCGCAGCCCCCCAGGCAGGCUCCCUGCGGCGCCCCCAGUCCCCACC
rnacentral:lncRNA from 1 species